UACGUAGGGUCCGAGCGUUGUCCGGAAUUAUUGGGCGUAAAGAGCUCGUAGGCGGUUUGUCGCGUCUGCUGUGAAAUCCCGAGGCUCAACCUCGGGUCUGCAGUGGGUACGGGCAGACUGGAGUGCGGUAGGGGAGAAUGGAAUUCCUGGUGUAGCGGUGGAAUGCGCAGAUAUCAGGAGGAACACCGAUGGCGAAGGCAGUUCUCUGGGCCGUAACUGACGCUGAGUGCGCGAAAGCCAGGGGAGCAAACGGG
rnacentral:rRNA from 1 species